CCUACGGGGGGCAGCAGUCGAGAAUCAUUCACAAUGGGGGAAACCCUGAUGCAGCAACGCCGCGUGGGUGAAGAAGUACUCCGGUAUGUAAAGCCCUGUCAGCAGGGAAGAAAAUGACGGUACCUGACCAAGAAGCCCCGGCUAACUACGUGCCAGCAGCCGCGGUAAUACGGAGGGGGCAAGCGUUAUCCGGAUUUACUGGGUGUAAAGGGGGCGUAGACGGCAAGGCAAGUCUGGAGUGAAAGCCCGUGGGCCAACCACGGGACUGCUGUGGAAACUGUGUUGCUGGAGUGCAGGAGGGGUAAGCGGAAUUCGUGGUGUAGCGGUGAAAUGCGUAGAUAUUAGGAGGAACACCGGUGGCGAAGGCGGCUUACUGGACUGUAACUGACGUUGAGGCUCGAAGGCGUGGGGAGCAAACAGGAUUAGAUACCCCUGUAGUC
rnacentral:rRNA from 1 species